UUUGACUGGGGCGGUCUCCUCCUAAAGAGUAACGGAGGAGCACGAAGGUUGGCUAAUCCUGGUCGGACAUCAGGAGGUUAGUGCAAUGGCAUAAGCCAGCUUGACUGCGAGCGUGACGGCGCGAGCAGGUGCGAAAGCAGGUCAUAGUGAUCCGGUGGUUCUGAAUGGAAGGGCCAUCGCUCAACGGAUAAAAGGUACUCCGGGGAUAACAGGCUGAUACCGCCCAAGAGUUCAUAUCGACGGCGGUGUUUGGCACCUCGAUGUCGGCUCAUCACAUCCUGGGGCUGAAGUAGGUCCCAAGGGUAUGGCUGUUCGCCAUUUAAAGUGGUACGCGAGCUGGGUUUAGAACGUCGUGAGACAGUUCGGUCCCUAUCUGCCGUGGGCGCUGGAGAACUGAGGGGGGCUGCUCCUAGUACGAGAGGACCGGAGUGGACGCAUCACUGGUGUUCGGGUUGUCAUGCCAAUGGCACUGCCCGGUAGCUAAAUGCGGAAGAGAUAAGUGCUGAAAGCAUCUAAGCACGAAACUUGCCCCGAGAUGAGUUCUCCCUGAGACUUAGAGUCUCCUGAAGGAACGUUGAAGACGACGACGUUGAUAGGCCGGGUGUGUAAGCGCAGCGAUGCGUUGAGCUAACCGGUACUAAUGAACCGUGAGGCUUAACCUUACAACGCCGAAG
rnacentral:rRNA from 1 species